rnacentral:lncRNA from 1 species
UGUGGAUCUUGAAAGAUUUUGCAAAUAACAGUUAACAGAGAUAAACUGUGUCAAAGACAGUGAACAUUUUCGUGUUACUUAUUUUUUAGUUUUCUAUGUUGUGUCAUGUGUACUAUUGUUUUUUUUUUUUUUUUCAUUUUUAGCCAUGGUUUUGACAGUUUAUUUUCGAUUUACGAGGUCGACUGUCCCUCUGGUAUCUUUCGUCCAUCUUUUAAGUGUCAAGUAACAGAUAACAGGACUCCCAUUAUAUAUGAAACAGUUAACAACACUGUCAAUUCUU